rnacentral:rRNA from 1 species
AAUGAACGUUGGCGGCGUGGAUUAGGCAUGCAAGUCGUGCGCGAAUCGUAGCAAUACGAGGAGAGCGGCGAAAGGGAGAGGAUAGCAUAGAUACCUACCCCCGGGCCUGGGAUAGCUAUGGGAAACUAUAGGUAAUACCAGAUAAUGUCUCCGGACCGAAGGUGUGACUCCGUCCGAGGAGGGGUCUAUGUCCUAUUAGCUUGUUGGUGAGGUAAUGGCUCACCAAGGCCAAGAUGGGUACGAGGCGUGAGAGCGUGUCCUCGCUCACUGGGACUGAGACACUGCCCAGACACCUACGGGUGGCUGCAGUCGAGAAUCUUCGGCAAUGGGCGCAAGCCUGACCGAGCGACGCCGCGUGCGGGAUGAAGGCCUUCGGGUUGUAAACCGCUGUCAGUGCGGAGGAAAUAUAGUGGGGUACUCCCCAUUAUUUGACCUAUGCGCAGAGGAAGGACGGGCUAAGUUCGUGCCAGCAGCCGCAGUAAGAC